UCUUUAUUAAAAAAAGAAAAUAAAAUAAAUUAUAAACCCACUCCUCAUUCAUUUCCCAUCUGCUUUUCAAGACACUAAAGACGCGCCACUCACCAUCUCCGUCAAGGGUCUGCCAUUGUUCACCUGCAGCGGUUCGUCACACUGCCGCCAUUGAGUCAACAGCCGUUGUUAAUCACUGUCGUUGAAGCCAGAUGUCGCACAGCCUGUACGAGAUGAUGCUCGCCAUGGGUCGUUGGAGUCACUCGCGCCUCCGCUUCCAGUCAUCGACCGGCGCGUGCUACUGCCGAUUCAUUACGGAUAAGUCUAUCUCUCUUUGAGUCUGAGUUUUUCCAAACAACGUUACCCACGAAUGGGGUUGCUCCACUGCUGCUUUCAAGUUAUGCUUUCUUCCGAACAUUCCUCAUUCUAUUUGAUGCUUCCUUCAUCCACUACUCCCUUUCCGCCUUGAUUUCUCUUUUCCUGUUCUUCCUCCUUAAGUCACUUCAGACUUAUUGUUGACUCUAUUAAGGUAUGCUUCCUUAAGUCACUGGCUUUCUUUACCACGUUUUAAAUACUCUAUUGUUGACUCUAUUAAGGUAUGCUUCUUAUUUUUGGUUUCUUUUAAGAUUCAAUUUUGAAUUCUUAUGUUUGCAAUUUCGAGCUAAAAUGUUCCAAUUGUUCUCCACUGGGUUCAUAUGUAAUUUGGGUCUGCUGGAUGGAUGACCCAAAAAUUAGACAAAAAAAUGUGAAAUGAUACGAUUUUUGAAAAAAAAAUGUCGAAUGACCCUUUGUUGACGUCAAAUUCAGGUGAAAUUACCAAAAUAUACUCGCUCGCAUCGGAAAAAGUAGUCUCACUCUCGCUCGUCUCGCUCUCUCUUCAUUUACUCACAAAUCACUAGCUCGUCUCGCUCUCUUUUUGUUUCCUCACUUGUAAAAUCAAUCUUCUCUCUCGUCUCUUGCUCAUUGGAGUUGGUCGCAUCGAAGCUGCUCGUGUGAACUCGUCGUGUUGGAGAAAAAGAAGACGUACAAAGAAGAAGUAGCCGAAGAAGAAGAACAUGUAGAGGAAGAUUUCUUACAACAGAGAAAAAGAGGAAAAAGAAAAAAGAAGGGCAAUAAGAUUUUGCAAAUUUAUGCUUUCAAAAUAGUCUCCAAUUCUAUUGUUCAAGUGCGGAUUGAAAAGUUUUCUAACAAAACAAAAUAUUCUAGCUAUGAAGUAAGUUACCAAAAGGUUAAAGAAUUAGAGGUUCAGGUUGCUUGCUUGAGUUCAAGUUGGAUGUGGUGAUGUCGACGACUUCAUAAGGAAAAAGCUAGGCGUAGUGAAACCGACGAUGGGACUUCACGAAGUAUUUAAGUUCAAAAAGACAAUUAUUUAGGGUCAACAAGUAAUUUUAAGAUUUUAGAGUCUUGUACUUAUCAUAAUUACCAAUUUUGUUUAUCUUUGUAAGUUGGAAUAUAGCUUGAGGAAUGAAUAGUUAUAUUAAUUUUGUUGAA